rnacentral:rRNA from 1 species
AUUGAACGCUUGCGGCAGGCCUAACACCUGCAAGUCGAGCGUGCGGCGGACGGGUGAGUAAUGUAUGGGGACUGCCCGAUAGCGGGGGAUAACUACUGGAAACGGUAGCUAAUACCGCAUCCUAUCGGAUAACCCAUAUGGGAUUAGCUAGUAGGUGAGGUAAUGGCUCACCUAGGCGACGAUCCCUAGCUGGUCUGAGAGGAUGAAAAGCCACACUGGGACUGAGACACGGACCAGACUCCUACGGAGGCAGCAGUGGGGAAUAUUGCACAAUGGGCGCAAGCCUGAUGCAGCAAUGCCGCGUGUAGGAAGAAGGCCCUAGGGUUGGAAAGUACUGUCAGUCGGGAGGCGUUACCGACAGAAGAAGCACCGGCUAACUCCGUGCCAGCAGCCGCGGUAAUAC